UACAGAGGUCUCAAGCGUUGUUCGGAUUCAUUGGGCGUAAAGGGUGCGUAGGUGGCGCCGUAAGUCAGGUGUGAAAUUUCGGAGCUUAACUCCGAAACUGCAUUUGAUACUGCGGUGCUUGAGGACUGGAGAGGAGACUGGAAUUUACGGUGUAGCAGUGAAAUGCGUAGAGAUCGUAAGGAAGACCAGUGGCGAAGGCGGGUCUCUGGACAGUUCCUGACACUGAGGCACGAGGGCCAGGGGAGCAAACGGG
rnacentral:rRNA from 1 species